rnacentral:rRNA from 1 species
AACGAACGCUGGCGGCAUGCCUAACACAUGCAAGUCGAACGAGACCUUCGGGUCUAGUGGCGCACGGGUGCGUAACGCGUGGGAACCUGCCCUUAGGUUCGGAAUAACUCCCCGAAAGGGGUGCUAAUACCGGAUAAUGUCUUCGGACCAAAGAUUUAUCGCCUUUGGAUGGGCCCGCGUUGGAUUAGCUAGUUGGUAGGGUAAAAGCCUGCCAAGGCGACGAUCCAUAGCUGGUCUGAGAGGAUGAUCAGCCACACUGGGACUGAGACACGGCCCAGACUCCUACGGGAAGCAGCAGUGGGGAAUAUUGGACAAUGGGCGAAAGCCUGAUCCGGCAAUGCCGCGUGAGUGAUGAAGGCCUUAGGGUUGUAAAGCUCUUUUACCCGGGAUGAUAAUGACAGUACCGGGAGAAUAAGCACCGGCUAACUCCGUG